UUAAUACCCAUGGACGAUGACAUUAGCUGCAGAAUAAGCACCGGCUAACUCUGUGCCAGCAGCCGCGGUAAUACCAGAGGGUGCAAGCGUUAAUCGGAAUUACUGGGCGUAAAGCGAGCGUAGGUGGCUUGAUAAGUCAGAUGGUGAAAGCCCCGGGCUUAACCUGGGAACGGCAUCUGAUACUGUUAGGCUAGAGUAGGUGAGAGGAAGGUAGAAAUUCCAGGUGUAGCGGUGAAAUGCGUAGAGAUCUGGAGGAAUACCGAUGGCGAAGGCAGCCUUCUGGCAUCCAUACUGACACUGAGGUUCGAAAGCGUGGGUAGCAAACAGGAUUAGAUACCCUGGUAGUCCACGCCGUAAAGCGAUGUCUACUAGUCGUUGGGUCCCUUGAGGACUUAGUGACGCAGCUAACGCAAUAAGUAGACCGCCUUGGGGAGUACGGCCGCAAGGUUAAAACUCAAAUGAAUUGACGGGGGCCCGCACAAGCGGUGGAGCAUGUGGAUUUAAUUCGAUGCAACGCGAAGAACCUUACCUGGUCUUGACAUAUCUAGAAUCCUGCAGAGAUGCGGGAGUUGCCUUCGGGAAUUAGAAUACAGGUGCUGCAUGGCUGUCGUCAGCUCGUGUCGUGAGAUGUUGGGUUAAGAUCCCGCAACGAGCGCAACCCUUGUCCUUAGUUACCAGCGGUUUGGCCGGGAACUCUAAGGAUACUGCCAGGGUGACAAACUGGAGGAAGGCGGGGACGACGUCAAGUCAUCAUGGCCCUUACGACCAGGGCUACACACGUGCACAAUGGUAGGUACAGAGGGCAGCUACACAGCGAUGUGAUGCGAAUCUCAAAAAGCCUAUCGUAGUCCACAUUGGAGUCUGCAACUCGACUCCAUGAAGUAGGAAUCGCUAGUAAUCGCGGAUCAGAAUGCCGCGGUGAUGACGUUCCCGGGCCUUGUACACACCGCCCGUCACACCAUGGGAGUUGAUUGCACCAGAAGUGGUUAGCCCCUUUUAGGAAGGCGAUCACCACGGU
rnacentral:rRNA from 1 species